GUAACUCCAUGAUUUCCGGAUCCUCCCCACCUUUCUUUCUCUAGGCCCCAGGUCGAGAAGAACAGAUCCGCAGCAACUGCCGCCGCUCCUCCCUUCCCCUCCUCCCGUGCGUGGCCAUCUCAUCCACCCCGAGUCGACCCCGCCUCCGGUCGCGGCGCACUCUUCUACAAGCCGCGAUGACAUCCUCGCCGGUCAGCCGCACCCAGCGCCCUCCUCCUCCCUUCUCUCUCCCUCUCCUCACUAAUCUAUCUCCCUGUCUCCGUUGGACCUUCCUCGUGACUGCCGGCCUUCCUCCUCACUAGAUCAACGACGGCGACGACCGGAUCUCCCAUGCUGCCAUUGCUCAGACACACCGCGCAUUUGCCCCACCUCCCAGCAAACGCCGCCGCCCCUUCCCUUCCGAUCCACCUCGAGUCAACCUGUCGCCACCACGCACGCGAGCCACGGCGGGGGACGCGAGAGGAGGAGUUGCGGCUUCCUCCGGGCACACACGUGCCGUUGCAGUCGGCCUCUCCUGGAGCGUCGGUCGCCGAAGCCGCCUGCCGCUCGGCUUCUGCCCCACGGGCGCCACGUCCAGGAACUCCCCUCCGCCGCUGCCGGGUGGGUCAAAAUCACUGCUAUCGCCGUGUCCCGCCCCAUUCUGUUCAUGCUCUGACGUGAUCCUGAUGCGCAUGCACACAUCCUUUUCUGUACAGAGUAAUGGCCAUUGGAUUUGGAUUUUGGGAGCUUCCAAUCGUGGAUGCUUGUUUCCGUAUGGAGUAAUGACAUUUUUUAACUGACGGAUUGAUCCAUGUAAUUAGGAUUGUCUCCAGGUGCAAUAGUCGUUCAAGCACGUGCAGUUUUUGGGAGUGAAGUCAAAAGAAUAGCUUGGUACUUCUGUGGUUGAGGUUUCAACAGAUUGAUUUCAACAGAGGGAUGCUGGUGCAGUAACCAUAUCUAUGUGCAAGGAAUUCUGCUUCUUGCAGCUGUAGGACCAUGAGAUGUCGACGCUACACGAUAGGGGACACCAAGGUCCCAGCCAAGUCAGUGAUGUUGCCCCGACUCCCUAUUUCUUCAGCUUGAGGAAGCCCUGUGGCAGCCUGACUCUCUUCUUCCUAUUGUCGUCCUAUCUGACCUGCUACUAGGCAACUACUACUACUCACGAUUGAUAGAUGCUAUCUUGCGAACAACUGAGCAGUCUCGGCUAUACUUUAACCCAGACAUCAAAGAAGCAAAUAGCUUGAUAUAUGGUUCAGGGAGCUCCGACGCUUGCUCCGACCAAAGAAGUUUUUCACACUGGCACAUAGUGGCAUUGGCUGAGGUGUUUGUAACAAAUUGUACAGAUCUUGAUUAAUUUUGCUCUGUUUUUUCCUCCCCCUUAUACCAUACUAUAUUAAUGAAAAUUUGACCAUAGAACUAUUGUUGUAUGGUUUGUGGUUAAACAAAAAGAACCAGCAAGGAGGUGGAGUUUGCGAAGCACACGUUCGACCAUGACAACCCCAAGCAUGUGUCCCCAUACGACGAGGCGACCAGGUGAAUACCACUCAUGAGAUGUGUGAGCUCUGGCGAAGAGCAUGAGUAGAAGCAUAGAACACAUUUGUCAUUAGGGACUCGCGAGGAUGUUGUUGCAACAUACGGGCUCAUUUACUUAAAAAUAAACAGAUUUCAAAAGACAUGUGUUAUAUUUGAGAGACGUGCGUUGCACGUGCA